UACGUAGGGUGCAAGCGUUUAAUCGGAAUUACUGGGCGUAAAGCGUGCGCAGGCGGUUUUGUAAGACUGUCGUGAAAUCCCCGGGCUUAACCUGGGAAUGGCGAUGGUGACUGCAAGGCUAGAGUUUGGCAGAGGGGGGUAGGAUUCCACGUGUAGCAGUGAAAUGCGUAGAUAUGUGGAGGAACACCGAUGGCGAAGGCAGCCCCCCUGGGUCAAAAACUGACGCUCAUGCACGAAAGCGUGGGGAGCAAACAGG
rnacentral:rRNA from 1 species